UGGAUGAUCCUCUGGGAACCCCACCCGACCACUUGAUGCUCUGAUAGGUCGAGCGAAGCCCAUAAAUAGCUAUUUUAGAUCGACCUUGGAUGAUGCUUUGGAAUGAUCCUCUAUGAUCCCCCCAUGAAAAUCUGGUUGCAAAUAACAUUGACAAUCAUACAAGGCUUACAAAGGCAACUUUGCUCGUACAAAGGCUAUGAUAACAAAAAAGAAAAGCUACA
rnacentral:lncRNA from 1 species